UCUCUCAUUUGACAAGUCAAGUCCUCAGCGCUGUCUUUGUCGAGUCGUCUGUUUUGUCUCUGUCAGCUCUAAGUUCCUUAUCCUGCCAGUUUGCUUUUAUUUUUGUUUCCUGUCCCGUAUUUUAUGUUUUCAUCAAAUCCUGGUUUUGGGAAUUGGACCUGCCUCGCUCCUGCAUUUGGGUCCAGCUGCUCUCCAUGCCUCACCGUGACAGUGCACCAUCAUUCCACGAGUGCAGGAUGCAGCGGAGGAAACCUUCAAGGAUUCGUCGACGUGUUCGGGAUUUGAAUCGUGACCUGGUGAGAAGGGAAGCUGACAGACUAGUUGAUGUCUGGUUCAUGAGCAUCUGGACCACAGUUCUGAGACGGGAGGCAGAACAUGAGCUGAGGGAAGCUGCGGUCGGAGAUGAGGCCGUGGCCUCGUAAAAACUCACGACGCCGGGAUAAUGUAAAGAGACAAGCUGUGUUGUUCCCCAUGAACUCAGGACCUCUGCCCUCCUCAGGGAAGCUGCUCUGCUUAUUAAACACACAGCAGCAGAAACAACUGGGCCAUGGUGCUCAGAUAAUAACAGAUAU